UCACCCCCUGGUGGGCUUGGUUGGCCACACUCAUUGGGUGCGGCACCUCUGAUGUGGGAGGCAGGGGUCGGUGGAGGGGAAGCACUUCCUCCACCGGGGGCCAGGUUGUGGGAAAGGCUGGGAAAACACACGCUCUGACGCAGGCUCUUCUGUGACCUACCUUGGGUACACGGGAGAAAUCCUUCAGCAUCCCUGAGCCUCCAUUAGCCCGUCAUGAAACGAGAGGUUAGAGAUGGUGUCCACAUCCCUUUACUGUUUUGAUGUCUGCACUUGGUGAAUCCCGGUCAAGCACACCUAACCACUGCCUCUCUGGAGAAGGAAAAUGAAGGAGGAGGAGCAGGGUGUGGCUGUGCUGGGAAAGAGACUUGGCCUGCAGCCACACAGUGAUUCAGAAGACGCUGAGUGAGGACCUCUGUGUCCCUGCUCCAAGGACUCGGAGAUGACCCGUCCCAGGACACUCAAUCCUGCCUGCAGAUGCUAGGCUCUAAGGAGAUGCCUGCUAUAGCACCAGCACAUUCUGCAGAAAUGUUUUGAAAUGCGUUAAUAAAUAACUGGAGAACAGUAUCUAUACAA